GUGGGGAAUGAGGUUCUCCCCUGGGAAACCUAAACUGCUGACUUAAGCUGAUGACUUCUACGAUUA
rnacentral:ncRNA from 1 species